GCCUCCAUGGCAUAAUCGGUUAGCGCGUCCGGCUGUUAACCGAAAGGUUGGUGGUUCGAUCCCACCCGGGGGCG
rnacentral:tRNA from 1 species